CGUUUUAUCUGAAAAUAGAGGUAAUGUUGUAUGUUUAUAUCAUAACUGUUUUAUUUCUUUAUUAUAUAUUUCAGUUCCUUGUGGGAUAGAGACGGCAUUCAUUUUGCACGGGAUCAAACGGAGCACGUGUACAAUCAUUCUGAAAUCGAGGCUAUUUCGGAUGAAAUCGAUCAGAAUGAAGCACCGCACGAAAGCACACAGGUCUCAGAAUCGCAGCUCCACACGAACCUGUAUGAGAACACAGGACAAUCAAGAUGUGAUCAGCGGGACCAGUCAGAUGACGAUAACUACGACACUAUUAGCGAAGAACACGAUGGGCCCUGUGAAUGAUGAAAAUCUUCAAUAACAUAAAUGUGUUGGGACACAUGAACAUCUCAAACAAUUUAUUUCUGAUUUCAUUGCUGCGUAUUGUACAUGUAUGUGCUGUAUUUUUAAUCAUGUCUGAACACACGGUUCUUUGACAUGGUUUGUUGUUGCCAUUUGGGAAUAUGAGAUACGUUGACCAGGAAAAACGUAUACAAUAUUUUGAUUAUGAUAUUUAAUUAUUAUAUUUUGUUUAAACUUGUUUAAAUUGACGAACGUUUUAACUGUCAUUUCUACUAAAGUUCCGACGUGUUAAUUACAUCAAAAUGUUGCACAGCUGUCUAACACUAUUUCUCAACAUUUUGCAGUCACCAGUUCAUCUUUAUAAUGCAUUCAGUGUACAUAUUAUCAAGAUCUUCAUUCAAGAAA